rnacentral:rRNA from 1 species
UGGGGAAUAUUGCACAAUGGGCGAAAGCCCUGAUGCAGCAACGCCGCGUGAAGGAAGAAGGGUUUCGGCUCGUAAACUUCUAUCAACAGGGACGAAAGAAAUGACGGUACCUGAAUAAGAAGCCCCGGCUAACUACGUGCC